GAUGACUACAGAACCUGCUGGCCACGAGGCCUAACUAGAAGAAGUUGGUCACAAUAGGCAAGCCUAUCAAUGUUGUACCUGCCCUUGGUUCCCACCUUGUUCUUUAUGCUUCCAGGACAGACACUACGAGAAGAGUUUUAUCACAUGCUCCGAUGCUCUUGAACUCCAUCACGCCUUUCCUACCACAAGGGAUGAGGCUCUCUCUGAAACCAUGAACCAACAUAAAUCUUGUCUCUGCCAAAGAAGCCACAGGUUUGGGGACAAAUGAUUGUACUGACAAAGCCAUAACUCAGGAGAGGCAUUUGGAAAUGACAUGUUGAAAAUGUUAACCACUCACGGGAUCUACCGAUGUCUACUUCAGUGCUGAUGGUGUCUGAGUCUUCACACAUCCUAAAGAGCUGG